GUAUUUAAUAACAAGCAUAGGCGUAUUAUAUUAUAUGAAGAGACACUUGCCGCCUGUAGAACUUAACACUGCACUCACUACAAUUUAUAUACGACCUCUGACGUAGCAAUUUAUUACCUCCACAACUACAAAGGCACUAUGAUGAACAACGUAACAUGGGUUGAGAGUUAGUGAAAACUAAGCAAGUCAUUGUUUACUCGCCGUUGAUGCAAAAUUUAUGAAAUACCUACCAGAUCGUUUACCUUAAGAUAAUCACAUUUAGGAAGCUUCACGACACAUUGGUGAACCGCCAGUACCUACUUACCUGCCUUGAAAUUGCACUGCGAGAAAAUUGCUAUUCUCAGGAAUGAGGCACUUAUUCAAAGUAAAAUAACCAUGAAGUUUCCAAGGAGACUGCGUGGAGGUUGACCUGGUGAAAUAUAUUAGUAAAAACUGGAGUGGGAACUAGUAUUGGAAACUAUGAGAACACAAAAUACCUCUAGGAAGCCCAAGGUUGAGGUGGAAGGAUGAUGUAGUAAAAAUGACGAAGGACAACUGGACACCAAUUGCUCAUAACUGAAUACAUAGCACCAUAUAUGCUCUUAUAUGUAUUUUGUGAAGGCUGUUCAUUUGGAAUACAAAUAAAAUUAUUGUGUAUUAUAAAUAUUUGUAUUUGUCUGUUAUAUAUACUAUUGUAUAAAUCCGUGGGUUAAUCUGGAGACAUAAUAAUAAAAAAACUUAAAAAAAACAUACCACCUUAUUUUAUUGUAGAUACAAUUUGUUCUGUACAUAAUAUAGCAGGGAUCACGGCAUAAAAAUUUGCAAGACACCCUAAAUAAGAACUACUCACAAUAAAGUUUACGUAACAGUCGAUCCCUUACCACUUGUGCCAAAAUCUUUCCUAGAACAUGGGUACAAUUUAUCACUUGUUUUUCGAUAGAGAAAAUACCUACCGCUGUUGAUGUUUUGACCAUGACCGAGGGUGUAGAAAUAGAUUGCUGUUACCAUGUUUGGGAAUAGGGCGGGGUGUAUAUUUAUUUCGCAUUCUUCGAAUUUGUCAAUAGGACAAUUUAUAUCCUAAUUUCCUUUAGUCACGGCAUAGUUUUAGAACGACCUAACCGAUUUUAAUCAUUAGGUUUUGUAUUGUUUUCUUAUACUUUGUAGAAUAAUCUUACUGAACGAUAAAUUAAGAAAAUUGGAAAUUUUCUAUAAACUUUCUUUCAACGUCUGUCGGUAACUAGUACGAAAAAAGUGUGAAGAAUGACAUUUUCGCCGUUUUCAAAUACUUCGAUAAAGUGUGACUCUAAUGAGUUUGUUUAUUACUUUAGCGGUUAGAGGACUAAUUAUGUUGUCAUUACCAGAAGUGAAGUUAUUUAUGACUUGAAAUCAAAAUACAUUGAACUGGUGGACUAAGAAAUGCAAAAACAUUUCAACUUAAUGACUUGAUUUAACGUCAUAAUAAAUUUCAACCUAGAGAAACAAUGAGAGGAAAACUUUACAGUUUAAAUAUGCAUAUGAUUAUAUUGUUAAUAUAUUAUUAUAGUACAUCAAAUAUAUUAUUUUAAUUGCCAUCAACAUAAUUAAAUUUUAUGAUACGUACAAUGUGGUUAGCUGGCGGGAUUGCAUUUACAUUGCGUUCGUUCAUUUUUGUUUGCUAUUUUAAUUUUAUGUUUAAACUUUGGUAAAAAGAUUCGAUGCAAUAGUGCGCAGGGUUGUCAACCCUAAAACUUUUUGUCGAAAUUAUUAAAAAUCUCGUACUCAAUUUGCCUCUACAACGUCGUACUUUGUCAUAUUUUGACAGACUUAUUGGUACUAGUAUACUUAGGGUAAUAACUGGGUAUAGGGUAAGAACAGUCUGUUUUGCAAACUUUUACACAUUCUAUAGACACAAUGUAAUAAGUAACAACUUGUUAUGCUAUGUCUGUAGAAUGUUCACAAAAUACCAAAAUUAAAAAAAAAAGAUAGAUACUAUGUCAAUCUGGCAGUUAGAAUAUAGACAGUUCCUUUUCGUUAACAUGUGGGGUGAGUAGUUUUCUCGCGCUUUCGAAAUUAUGACUUUUUCUUAGGUAGUACAUGACCAUAUAAUCUAAGAAGUGAUUAUAUAAAUUUUACUUAUUAUAAAUGCGAAUGUCUGUCGGUUUGUUAUCAUUUCAUAACUAAACAGCUGAACGAAUCUUAAUGAAAUUUGACGUGAAUAUAGUCUAUAUCACAAAAAUGGAUCGGACUAUCUUUUAUAUAAAGAACAGCGUAAAUAUUUCGUCGUAACGAAAGUUUUCUAUCAAAAUUUUUAGUGUAAUGUCACACACGCAAGUAAAAAAAUGUAGUACCUACGUCCGUUUAAUUUUCAUAUAAAUUGAGGUACCCACUGCCUCUACCUCCAUUUAUGUAUAUGAUCAACCCUUUCCAAGGAGAACUUAUCGAUAGACGUCUCAAUUCCUUUACAUAAAGUUUUUAACAUAUCUUGACAUGGGUUAGCUUAACCUUCCUCUGAAGAGAAGGUAAGAGCUUACUUAGGACAACAUUUCCUAAAUGUUUUUGAUAUUUCUGUAAUGAUUCAACUAAAUACUGAAAUAUUUUUUAUAUUUGUUGUUGAAAAGUUUUUUAAUGUACUAUAUUAGAAUUGUGCAAUUUGACUGAGAGACUUUAUAAAAAGUCGUCUGCGUGGUGGUUAGGUUAUCUUUGUUUCACUUGUUUCAUCCUACAAAUAGAUGGCUUUGUAAACUGUUUUUUGGUUGAAGAUGAGAUAAAGUAGUGAAUUUAUGUAAUAAGAGACAUGACAUUUUAGUCCUCCGGAAUAACAACGUAUGUGUAUCACGUGUUAUCGAGAGCGUAGCGUAACAUAUAACUAAACUUAAUAUACCUAUAAUAUAAUAUAGCGUAGCUUGACAUCAGCCCGUUUUUGCUAUUCAAACUAAAAAAAAUGGAGAAGUCACAUUCUCCAUGGAGAGGAUGAGCGUAAAGUUCAUAUAUAUUGGGCAUUUUGACAAGAAGUUUGUGAUAUGACAGUGAAAUUACUACUAUACUUAAUUACUGUGAUAUAAGAUUUUUAUACUACAAGUGUCUGUAAUGCCCGAAUAUAUUUUAUAUUGUCUGUUUACCGCGAGGUGGACCGUAGUCUUGAUUGCCACUUUCGUUCUUGUUAAUUGAAAUUUGAAUAUAAUGAAUAACAAGUAUUAUUUAACAAAUUCUUAAAUCGAUUAUCUGAGGCCAUUUUGUAUUCCUUUCUUUUCGAGAGCUUUCACCAAAUAGGCAGCAAAUUGUCACCUCGGGCUAUGAAACUCAUCUCGACACUUCAGCCCAAACUUUCAUUGGUGAAAUGCAAAACAAAGAUAACAAAAUGUCAGCUAGUCCUCGACGAGAUACUUUAAAUUCCUUGUUAAAUGAACUCACCAUUGUUUCAACUUUGCAAUUUCAGACAUUUAUCAAUAACGAAUGUAUUACAUUAUUUCGUUUUAGAUCUGCAUUAGAUAUGUAGUAUCUGAGAUUCAUUUUAUAAUUUAGCAACAAAAAAAAUGAUAAAAAAAUAUUACCAUAAUCGUAUCAGAAAUAGUGAAGAUCACACUGCAAAGGU